GUUGAUUAGGUUAAUUGUUUUUGCUUUUAAGCAUUAUUUGGUUACCUUAUUGAAUUUGGUUAAUUUGGUGUUUUUGGUUAAUUUUUUUAUCAUUCUGGUCCACCAAUUAAACAUUAUUUCAGAAAUAAAGCUUUUGGUCCCCGAAAAUUUCGAAGCUCACCUCAAUUCCUUGACUCAUAAUGGCCACCAUUAAUAUGCAGUGGAAGUACCAGCACCUUGAAUUAAGCAUCUGAUUCGUUAUACAGUACAGAGUGGCGAGAAAGUUUAUGUGGGUAAGCAACGCCCAUUCAAUAUGCGUAGAAACCAAUUUUUAAUUUGUUUAAAUCGAUGACUUAAUUUGUUCAUAUUAGCCGCUCUUCUAUGCGCUUCUAUUGCCCCUUUCCACAUAAACUUUCUCGCCACUCUGUAAUUAUACGUUUAUAUUUACAAAAGGAAAAACGCCAUCUAUUGAUACGAUAACUAGAAGAAUGGUCAUAAGUCGAGCAGACGAUUAAGUUAAAUUGUCACCCCAGUGAAAUGAUUGCAAGAAAAAAUUUAGUUAGAUUACCUCUAUCAGAGAAAUUAAAUAUAAUUAAAGAAUGUCAACAAUCGAUAGUUACUAUUAUAAAAGACAUAGUGUAACUCGGACAAACGGUCAACUAUAUUCUACACAAGGAGAACGAUCUACUGGCAACAACAAGUGAACAUAAGAUGUUGUAAAAACUAGGUUACCAAAUAAGUGUAAUCUAACUUAAAUUGAAGAUUCAAUGAAUGAAUUUAUAAUAAAGUGUAAUUUCAAGCAAAUACCUGUUGAUGGUCAAACCUUUUGUUGACAAACAAAUAAAUCGAAAAAUAUCACUGGGUUUAAAGCUUCACAUGGAUUUAUAAAUUACUUAAGAGAUGAGGAAUAACAAAUGUAACAAAUAAAAUCAAUAAAUUGAUCUUUUGGUAAUAACUGAACAUCAGUUAAUUAAUCAUAAAAACACCUUUUGUUGAUGAACCAUUUCACUCAUAAAUCAA